AGACGGUGGAUAGAUUGAUUGAAACUGGAGACAGUGAGCAUAUUUUUCAGAAAGCAAUCAUGGAGCAAGUAAGAGGGCAGUUAGGUUUUUCUGCUUCCGUGCGUGCAAGUAAUAAAUAUUGGAUACUGGCUGAGAUUCAGGAGCGGCAUGGCGCUUUCAGAGGCUUAGAGAACAAACUCCUCUACAUUGUAGCUUAAAAUGCUGAAUCUGAAAGUGUCAAACAAGAUGCUGAAUUAGAAAAUGCAUUUGAAAUCAUCCAGGUGCUUGCUAAGAUUCAGAAGAGGUGGAAGAGUCUCAAAGCGAGUCGAAAGCCCACGUUGAGCAGCACUGCAACCACAUCAACUACUACUGUGGCGCUGAAACGAUGUAGUCUGACCCCAACCGGAAUAUAGAUGUAGAGGAGACUCACUUAUAUCGACUAGAGAGAAGACAAGGGUAGCCACAUUAGAGGACAUACCAUCUCACUAGCACCCCUAAGAGGUCAAGAAAUCUGAAAUCCAUCAAUAGACCAAAGAGAACAAGAGAUGAGUGGGAAACAAAGAGUAGAGAAGUCUGAAGUUGCAGAUGGUGGAGAAAAGAAUGAUGAAAAGGAAAUAUUCAAGUGGACUUACUCAUAAGUAGAAAGUAGAAAUACGUCCCCUUUUGUGAUCUUCGUAUGACUCUAGAGGUCAAAGGUCCUAUCGAAGUAGCGGAAACUGACAAGGAUAAUGUUGAGAUCUGAGUUGAGGUUGGUCUCAUCUUCUACAUAUCUCUGUGUUUUAUGAUGUUCUCAUGUAUCUUACGCCUUCUUACAUAUAUGUAAUACGUUUUUUUAA